ACACGUCAGCGUCGUCAAGUCAAAGAAAACGAACCGAUGUUCUGGAGACCUAUUCAAUCGGCUUUAGGGGGGCGCCGUUCAAUCCAAUUUUCUGGGCUCUGUUGCUCUUCUGCUCGGUCAUACGCACAGUUACUGCUCGUCCCGUCGGAGGAAGUUAAUUAGCAGUUACUUCGACAGAAUCAGAAUCAGCGCCAACCUAGCUACGACAGAUACUUCUCUUAUUCUGUUGGCCAUGGAAGUGCUUCUUAGACGGUUAGCUUCUGCCGAUGCUGCUCGGUGCUUGUCUACUUCACUUGUUGGGUCCAUUUCCGAUAAGUGUAUUCGUGCCGGUCCUAGUUGCCGAACUCGAUUCCCUUUUCGCUUCGGUAGCCUUUGUAGUUUUUCCGACUCUUCGAAUGAGUCAAAUGCUUGCUCUGUCUCUUCUGUAGAAAAUGAGGCUGCAGUAAAUUGCAAUGGAUUUCGGACAUGGCGUAAUGGAGGUGGGACUUUUCACCACUCCGCUUGCAUUGAUCCUACAGCACUCAUCGAGACUGGUGCUGUGGUUCACUCGAACUCUGUCGUUGGUGCAAGUGUGCGUAUUGGAUCAGGAUCUGUUAUUGGAGAUGCUGUUACAAUUGGUCAAUCAACAAGGAUUGGGUAUAAUGUUGCACUUAGUAACUGCACCGUAGGUGAUUUUUGCGUUAUCCACAAUGGAGUGUGCAUUGGUCAAGAUGGAUUUGGAUUUUUUGUGGAUGAGCACGGGACUAUGAAAAAGAAACCUCAAAUGCUGAAUGUUAAGAUUGGAACGAAUGUAGAGAUUGGUUCAAAUACAUGCAUUGAUAGAGGAAGCUGGAGAGAUACUGUCAUAGGCAAUAGUACAAAGAUUGACAAUUUGGUUCAGAUCGGUCAUAAUGUAAUUAUUGGAGAUUGCUGCAUGCUUUGUGGGCAAGUGGGAAUUGCAGGAUCCGUCACGAUAGGGGACUAUGUGACAUUGGGUGGGCGAGUAGCUAUCCGUGAUCAUGUAUCAAUUGGAUCAAAAGUCCGGCUUGCUGCCCUGAGUUGUGUCACCAAAGACAUUAAGGAACCUGGGGAUUAUGGUGGCUUUCCUGCUAUACCAAUUUCUGCGUGGAGAAGGCAAAUUGCUAAGCUUUCUCAGUCAUCGAGGAAGAAAUGAAAUCAGGAACUUCAAGCUUCUUUCGUCUGCUAUGUACUGACAUCAUAUGAGGUUGGAGAUGCAGUUCAUGCAAGGGUGUAGAUUAUUCCUCAACGUUCGCCAGAGUCCUUCCAAGUCUGGCUCAAGUGAUGGUUUUUUUUUCUCUCCCUUAAAUAUGAUUCUAAAUUCUUGUGAGAAACGACAAGUGUUGGUUUUUUUAGUUGGGGUGGACAAGUAGCGGUUGAAAAUGACGUAAUUUCAAUUUCUGUCCAUUAGUCAUCAUUCAAAUUAUACACU